AACGCAGGUGUCCUAAGA
rnacentral:snRNA from 1 species